CAUAUUUCACAAUUCAAUCUACCAACAUAUGAAUCUGCAAUACAUAUAUUUUUCAUAACGAUUCUGACAAUACUACUUUUCAUACUUAAUCUGCAUUUCUUUUCUGAAAUUUUCUUUUCCUUUUUCUACUUUUUUGUUCCUUUUUUCCCAAAAUGAUGUAUGACCUUGACAGAGUUCUUAUUAUCAACAACAGGUUUGGAGUGGAAUCUGCACCUGCAAUUGUAUUUUUGAAGAAACAUGGAAUCAAACCUGUUGUGUACCAUGGACCUGCCAACAAUUCAUGUUUUGUAGAUAUAAUGGAACAGAAUAAACAUCAAGGUAAUGCUGUUUGUUUGUACUUUAUCAAGUUUUAUAAUUAGGGCCUUGACACUAUAACAAAAUUUGCCCGGUCAUAUUACUUGAGUGAGUGCAACCAUUGUGUAAAUGGCUUGUUAUAGUGAUUCUAAUGUGCAAGUAAACCUCAUGUGAUUGACAAGUGCAAAUGUUUAUGACUAUGAAGUUUUUCCUCGGUACAUGUUUUCCUAUGUAGAAAUCUUCCUUGAUAAUUUCCUUCACAUGAAUCGAAUUGUACAGAACUUGUCAGGUUAUGAUUUUGUUUUCAUUUGAUAAGACGUUGUGUUGCAACC